UACGGGGGGGGCAAGCGUUGUUCGGAAUUACUGGGCGUAAAGGGCUCGUAGGUGGCCAACUAAGUCAGACGUGAAAUCCCCCGGCUUAACCGGGGAACUGCGUCUGAUACUGGAUGGCUUGAGUAUGGGAGAGGGAUGCGGAAUUCCAGGUGUAGCGGUGAAAUGCGUAGAUAUCUGGAGGAACACCGGUGGCGAAGGCGGCAUCCUGGACCAUUACUGACGCUGAGGAGCGAAAGCCAGGGGAGCAAACGGG
rnacentral:rRNA from 1 species